UGGCGGACGGGUGAGUAACGCGUGGGUAACCUGCCUCAUACAGGGGGAUAACAGUUAGAAAUGACUGCUAAAACCGCAUAAGCGCACAAAACCGCAUGGUUUGGUGUGAAAAACUCCGGUGGUAUGAGAUGGGCCCGCGUCUGAUUAACUAGUUGGAGAGGUAACGGCUCACCAAGGCGACGAUCAGUAGCCGACCUGAGAGGGUGACCGGCCACAUUGGGACUGAGACACGGCCCAAACUCCUACGGAAGGCAGCAG
rnacentral:rRNA from 1 species